rnacentral:rRNA from 1 species
UUCAUAAGUAGGCCUCAAAUAAUGUGUGACUACCCC